GCAGUCGAGGGGCAGCAUGAUUGAAGCUUGCUUCAAUCGAUGGCGACCGGCGCACGGGUGAGUAACACGUAUCCAACCUGCCGAUAACUCGGGGAUAGCCUUUCGAAAGAAAGAUUAAUACCCGAUAGCAUAGUAUUUCCGCAUGGUUUCACUAUUAAAGAAUUUCGGUUAUCGAUGGGGAUGCGUUCCAUUAGAUAGUUGGCGGGGUAACGGCCCACCAAGUCAACGAUGGAUAGGGGUUCUGAGAGGAAGGUCCCCCACAUUGGAACUGAGACACGGUCCAAACUCCUACGGGAGGCAGCAGUGAGGAAUAUUGGUCAAUGGACGAGAGUCUGAACCAGCCAAGUAGCGUGAAGGAUGACUGCCCUAUGGGUUGUAAACUUCUUUUAUACGGGAAUAAAGUGGAGUAUGCAUACUCCUUUGUAUGUACCGUAUGAAUAAGGAUCGGCUAACUCCGUGCCAGCAGCCGCGGUAAUACGGAGGAUCCGAGCGUUAUCCGGAUUUAUUGGGUUUAAAGGGAGCGUAGGCGGGUGCUUAAGUCAGUUGUGAAAGUUUGCGGCUCAACCGUAAAAUUGCAGUUGAUACUGGGCGCCUUGAGUGCAGCAUAGGUAGGCGGAAUUCGUGGUGUAGCGGUGAAAUGCUUAGAUAUCACGAAGAACUCCGAUUGCGAAGGCAGCUUACUGGACUGUAACUGACGCUGAUGCUCGAAAGUGUGGGUAUCAAACAGGAUUAGAUACCCUGGUAGUCCACACAGUAAACGAUGAAUACUCGCUGUUGGCGAUACACAGUCAGCGGCCAAGCGAAAGCAUUAAGUAUUCCACCUGGGGAGUACGCCGGCAACGGUGAAAC
rnacentral:rRNA from 1 species